rnacentral:rRNA from 1 species
ACAUGAGAACCUUUCUUCGGGCCUUCGACUGGUCGGUUGGGGAUCAUGUACUUUACUUGAAAAAAUCAGAGUGUUUCAGGCAAGGCGUUUGCAUGAAUACACAAGCAUGGAAUAAUGGAAUAGGACUAGGGUCCAUUUUAUUGGUUAUUGGACCAUAGUAAUGAUUAAUAGGGACAGUUGGGGGCAUUAGUAUUUAAUUGUCAGAGGUGAAAUUCUUGGAUUUAUUAAAGACUAACUUAUGCGAAAAGCAUUUGCCAAGGAUGUUUUCAUUAAUCAAGAACGAAAGUUAGGGGAUCAAAGACGAUCAGAUACCGUCCUAGUCUUAACUAUAAACUAUACCGACUAGGGAUUGGUUGGGUUACUAAUGCCCAAUCAGCACCUUAUGAGAAAUCAAAGUCUUUGGGUUCCGGG